rnacentral:lncRNA from 14 species
UGCUUCAUCUGUCUGGCAAUGUUGACAAUCUCCCCAAAAGUGUUAUUUCCACUGUGUUUGAUGCUUUUCUUCUUCCUUCUGUCUAUUGGAAGCUUCUGGAGGACUUCAAUUGGACUGACAACUGGAAAACACAAUUCUUCAGGACAUCAUCAUUGAGAGAUGAUGGAUUCAGUAACUGGG